rnacentral:rRNA from 1 species
UACAGAGGGGGCAAGCGUUGUUCGGAAUUACUGGGCGUAAAGGGCGCGUAGGCGGCCUGUUAAGUCGAACGUGAAAUCCCCGGGCUCAACCCGGGAACUGCGUCUGAUACUGGAUGGCUUGAAUCCGGGAGAGGGAUGCAGAAUUCCAGGUGUAGCGGUGAAAUGCGUAGAUAUCUGGAGGAAUACCGGUGGCGAAGGCGGCAUCCUGGACCGGCAUUGACGCUGAGGAGCGAAAGCUAGGGGAGCAAACGGG